GACGUAGGGCGCGAGCGCUGUCCGGAUUUAUUGGGCGUAAAGAGCUCGUAGGUGGUUUGUCGCGUUGUUCGUGAAAACUCACAGCUUAACUGUGGGCGUGCGGGCGAUACGGGCAGACUUGAGUACUGCAGGGGAGACUGGAAUUCCUGGUGUAGCGGUGGAAUGCGCAGAUAUCAGGAGGAACACCGGUGGCGAAGGCGGGUCUCUGGGCAGUAACUGACGCUGAGGAGCGAAAGCGUGGGGAGCGAACAGG
rnacentral:rRNA from 1 species